rnacentral:rRNA from 1 species
GACGAACGCUGGCGGCGUGCUUAACACAUGCAAGUUGAACGGAAAGGCCUCUUUCGGGGGGUACUCGAGUGGCGAACGGGUGAGUAACACGUGAGUAACCUGCCCUUGACUUUGGGAUAACUUCAGGAAACUGGGGCUAAUACCGGAUAGGAGCUCCUGCUGCAUGGUGGGGGUUGGAAAGUUUCGGCGGUUGGGGAUGGACUCGCGGCUUAUCAGCUUGUUGGUGGGGUAGUGGCUUACCAAGGCUUUGACGGGUAGCCGGCCUGAGAGGGUGACCGGCCACAUUGGGACUGAGAUACGGCCCAGACUCCUACGGGAGGCAGCAGUGGGGAAUAUUGCACAAUGGGUGGAAGCCUGAUGCAGCAACGCCGUGUGCGGGAUGACGGCCUUCGGGCUGUAAACCGCUUUCGCUCAUGACGAAGCUUUGUGUGACGGUAGUGGGUAAAGAAGCACCGGCUAACUACGUG